rnacentral:rRNA from 1 species
UGCGCAGGCGGACCUAUCAGUCAGUGGUGAAAUCCCGGGGCUCAACUCCGGAACUGCCAUUGAUACUGUAGGUCUUGAGUUUGGUUGAAGUGGGCGGAAUGUAGCAUGUAGCGGUGAAAUGCAUAGAUAUGCCACAGAACACCGAUCGCGAAGGCAGCUCACUAAACCAAAACUGACGCUCAGGCACGAAAGCGUGGGUAGCGAACAGGAUUAGAUACCCUGGUAGUCC